rnacentral:rRNA from 1 species
AGGACGAACGCUGGCGGCGUGCUUAACACAUGCAAGUCGAGCGGAAAGGCCCUUUCGGGGGUACUCGAGCGGCGAACGGGUGAGUAACACGUGAGUAACCUGCCCUGGACUUUGGGAUAACCCUCGGAAACGGGGGCUAAUACCGGAUAUGACACGCUCUCGCAUGGGAUGUGUGUGGAAAGUUUUUCGGUCUGGGAUGGGCUCGCGGCCUAUCAGCUUGUUGGUGGGGUGAUGGCCUACCAAGGCGACGACGGGUA